CUGAGUCAUUGGAGAGGCGAGGAGUCGUUUCCAGGCUCUGGGAUGUGGGCCUGGAGCAAGGCUGACUGACAGCACGGCCUGACAGCCAGUCCCUGGCUCCUGGACCCAGGGCAUGUGCUCGUCGCCCCUGCCUGCAAGCAGGGCAGAAUCGAACAUGCUGUGUUUGAGGUCUUGUUCCAGUUGCGUGUGACUCUAGUUGAGUCAGGAGCAGACUGUAAGCAGCAGACAGGCCAGGUUCUGCGAUCCUUCCCAGCACACCGGGAACAAGCAGGUUUGUGCUCACAAAUGACCUUGGAUGGGUGGAUCUGGGAAAGGAUGGGUGGGUGGGUGGAUGGAGAUGUAUAGAUGGAUAUGUGGCUAAAUACGUGGAUGGGAGGAGGGCGGGAGGAUACAUGGACGGAUAAGGAAAUGUGUGGGUGGGUAGAUGGGUAGGUGGUUGGGAGGAUGGAUAGUGGAUGAAUGGAUGUGGGUAGGUAAGAUAUGAAUGAAUGAGUGGGAAGGUAAGUGGAUGGAUGGAUGGCUGAAUGGAUGGGUGGGUGGGUGGAUGGAUGGAUGGAUGUGUGGGUGGAUGGGUGGAUGGAUGGAUGGAUGGGUG
rnacentral:lncRNA from 1 species